UCCGCCAUCUCCGGCAUCGCCGCUGACGCCGAGCGCCGCCCGCACCGCGCGUGCGCGAGGGAGCUCCUCGCCUCUCCCACUCGGCGGGGGGGGUGAGCAGGCAACGCCGAGAAACACCGCGCUCCGGGAGGGAACCAGCCUUCCCACCCCUCUGCCACCAGAUGGUAUCGCCCAGCGCCGAGAUAUGACGCACAUCCAAGUGAAAUAUGGGACGGACUGCUUGUGGAGUUUGUUAACACGAGAGGGACGCAUCCAAAGACAUACAGAGAAACAAUGGGAAAAGCUGAAAAUAGAAGGCAGACCUUAUAAACUUGCACAGGUUGUGAUCAUCUCCCUAGGCAAAAUCUCUGGAAGAUAUGGGUGUACCUAGAAAUGAGGAUCUCAAACAGCUGGGUUCCACUGCUGUCACGGAAGUUAUAUGCACAGAACUUCAAGUUUAUCUGCUUGUGUACAGUACAACCACUACUCGCUGUCAGAUUAUUUUUUUCAGUUGCAGGAGGUUACUGCACACGAAUAAUGAGUGAGGGGACCUUGAUAAACUUCCACCUGUGUAAAUACAGUACUGUGAUUUUCCAGAAACUUGCGUGUGAAAGAGUCAUUGUUUGAGCAACAACUGUCACCUACAAGCAGAAGCAGCUGACGUUCUUUUGUAAUUAACACCAAUUACAUUCUGCAAAAGCUACAAAGAUGCAGGAGUUAUUUGGGUACUCUGCAUACAACACAGGUGGGUUGCUGCUGAUCUCUUUGCUUCAGGUGUUAAAGGCCUAUGCCUAAUCUAUGCAGGACACUCUGAGCUCCAACAAUGGUGCUAAGCAGUGUAUUAGUGGGUGGUUUUUGAAACAGGAACAAAGUUAAGGGAAUGUCUGGUAACCAAAGUAGAAUAAAAACUCAGAGGAAUUUAACUGUGGGAAGUGGAUGAUCCCUCUCCCAGAACUCUGAAAGAUCUAGUGAAAACACAAAUAAAACAGAAGGAUUUUAAAUAA